rnacentral:rRNA from 1 species
ACGCUGGCGGCAGGCCUAACACAUGCAAGUCGAGCGGUAGAGAGAAGCUUGCUUCUCUUGAGAGCGGCGGACGGGUGAGUAAUGCCUAGGAAUCUGCCUGGUAGUGGGGGAUAACGUUCGGAAACGGACGCUAAUACCGCAUACGUCCUACGGGAGAAAGCAGGGGACCUUCGGGCCUUGCGCUAUCAGAUGAGCCUAGGUCGGAUUAGCUAGUUGGUGAGGUAAUGGCUCACCAAGGCGACGAUCCGUAACUGGUCUGAGAGGAUGAUCAGUCACACUGGAACUGAGACACGGUCCAGACUCCUACGGGAGGCAGCAGUGGGGAAUAUUGGACAAUGGGCGAAAGCCUGAUCCAGCCAUGCCGCGUGUGUGAAGAAGGUCUUCGGAUUGUAAAGCACUUUAAGUUGGGAGGGAGGGCGGUUACCUAAUACGUGAUUGUUUUGACGUUACCGACAGAAUAAGCACCGGCUAACUCUGUGCCAGCAGCCGCGGUAAUACAGAGGGUGCAAGCGUUAAUCGGAAUUACUGGGCGUAAAGCGCGCGUAGGUGGUUUGUUAAGUUGGAUGUGAAAUCCCCGGGCUCAACCUGGGAACUGCAUUCAAAACUGACUGACUAGAGUAUGGUAGAGGGUGGUGGAAUUUCCUGUGUAGCGGUGAAAUGCGUAGAUAUAGGAAGGAACACCAGUGGCGAAGGCGACCACCUGGACUGAUACUGACACUGAGGUGCGAAAGCGUGGGGAGCAAAC